rnacentral:rRNA from 1 species
CGCGUAGGCGGCCCGCUAAGUCGAACGUGAAAUCCCCGGGCUCAACCCGGGAACUGCGUCCGAUACUGGCAGGCUUGAAUCCGGGAGAGGGAUGUGGAAUUCCAGGUGUAGCGGUGAAAUGCGUAGAUAUCUGGAGGAACACCGGUGGCGAAGGCGGCAUCCUGGACCGGUAUUGACGCUGAGGCGCGAAAGCCAGGGGAGCAAACG